rnacentral:rRNA from 1 species
GGAUGAACGCUAGCGGCAGGCUUAACACAUGCAAGUCGAGGGGUAACAUUGUGCUUGCACAGAUGACGACCGGCGCACGGGUGCGUAACGCGUAUAGAACCUACCUUUUACUGGAGAAUAGCCUUUAGAAAUGAAGAUUAAUGCUCCAUGGUAUUGAGUUUUGGCAUCAAGACUUAAUUAAAGAUUUAUUGGUAAAAGAUGGCUAUGCGUCCUAUUAGUUAGAUGGUAAGGUAACGGCUUACCAUGACUUUGAUAGGUAGGGGUCCUGAGAGGGAGAUCCCCCACACUGGUACUGAGACACGGACCAGACUCCUACGGGAGGCAGCAGUGAGGAAUAUUGGGCAAUGGAGGCAACUCUGACCCAGCCAUGCCGCGUGAAGGAUGACUGCCCUAUGGGUUGUAAACUUCUUUUAUACAGGAAGAAACACUGGUAUGUAUACCAGCUUGACGGUACUGUAAGAAUAAGGACCGGCUAACUCCGUGCCAGCAGCCGCGGUAAUACGGAGGGUCCGAGCGUUAUCCGGAAUCAUUGGGUUUAAAGGGUCCGCAGGCGGUCGAUUAAGUCAGAGGUGAAAUCCCAUAGCUCAACUAUGGAACUGCCUUUGAUACUGGUUGACUUGAGUCAUAUGGAAGUAGAUAGAAUGUGUAGUGUAGCGGUGAAAUGCAUAGAUAUUACACAGAAUACCGAUUGCGAAGGCAGUCUACUACGUAUGUACUGACGCUGAGGGACGAAAGCGUGGGGAGCGAACAGGAUUAGAUACCCUGGUAGUCCACGCCGUAAACGAUGGAUACUAGUUGUUGGGCAUUAGCUCAGUGACUAAGCGAAAGUGAUA